AUUUCUCAUAAUAAAAAAUCUACCUACCAAACGUUGCCUUGUUAUAAUCUUUAUUCAGAAAAGAAAAAACUGGUGGUUUAACCUUUUUAGGAGAAUUCAGAGUGUUGGCAGAGGUUUAUCCGGGAAGCUUUUUGAUUCGAUUAAUAAUCGGAUAGAGGGAGAAAGGGUGAGCAAAAGGAAAGCAAAUUAGGGGAUUGAGAAAAGCAAGAGAGAACGAAAGAAAAUCAAAUGCAUUUGUGGAUUUCCAAUUCAACUUAUCAUCCGCUUCUCCGUUUCCCUGUAAAGAGCGAGGCUCAAGUGCAAGAAAUCAGGGUGUGCACCAACCGCACCUGCCGCAGACAGGGUUCCAUGCAGACCUUCCACACCCUCACCGCUCUGACCCCGCCUGACAUCUCCGUGAAGCCCUGCGGUUGCCUUGGACGCUGCGGUGCUGGGCCCAACGUGGCUCUGCUGCCGGACGGCCAAAUAGUGGGGCAUUGUCGCACCGCGGCCGAAGCCGCGGAGCUUGUGGUUGGAUUAUGGUAUGGAGGUGGCAUUGGUGAUGCUUCUAGCAAGAGUAAGGCUAGCCUGGAUGCACUUGCUAUGAGGAUGAGAGCUGAGGCUUUGAUUGACGAGGCUGAUUUCUGUGAGGCUGAGCGCCUGCUUUCCCAGGCUCUCGAUUUAAAACCAGUUGGUGGCAUUCACAUCCUUUACAAACAAAGAUCUGUUGCUAGACUGGCAAUGCACAAUUACACUGGCGCUCUUGAAGAUGCCACUCAAUCUUUGAAAUUAGCCCCCAACUAUGCCGAGGCUUAUAUCUUGCAAGGUGAUGCUUUCUUGGCCAUGAACCAAUAUGAUUCAGCUCAAAAGUCUUAUUCAACGUGUUUGCAGAUAGACCCUUCCAUUCGUCGUUCCAAAUCAUUCAAGAUUCGGAUGGCAAAACUUGAAGAGAAACUAGCGACAGUAAAUACACCACAUGACUCGAAUUCCCAGUUGUAAUUAUACUGAAGAAGAAUUCAGGAAGAGUCAUGUUUCUUCUCGUACUUCCAGAUUAGACUUCUCUUCUUCCUUCAAGAAUUUAAACAAAAGUAUGGAUGCAUACAUGCUUAUUGUCUUAUGGAACUAACAUUGAUUCUGCCCAUUCUCACAAUGAUCUAUGACACCACAACUAUACCAAACUUGUCCUACCUCUGUUAAACCAAUCAGUAAGUGCAACAGAUGAGUAGACUGAUAUGUAUAUAUGAGUCAUUUGCACAAUCCUCGUUUGCAGUUAAGUUCGCUUGCAUGGCAUUGCGCAAGCUUCAUUUCUGUUUUUUUUUUUUUUGUUGAUAAUUGAGGCUUCAAGCCCCUUAAUUGUUAAACACUAUCAAACAACAACAAAGAUAGUGUAGGUUAUGUAUGAUUAAUG